UGGGGAAUUUUGGACAAUGGCGAAGCCUGAAUCCAGCAAUGCCGCGUGUGUGAAGAGGGCCUUCGGGUUGUAAAGCACUUUUGUCCGGAAAGAAAUCCUUGGCUCUAAUACAGUCGGGGGAUGACGGUACCGGAAGAAUAAGCACCGGCUAACUACGUGCCAGCAGCCGCGGUAAUACGUAGGGUGCAAGCGUUAAUCGGAAUUACUGGGCGUAAAGCGUGCGCAGGCGGUUUGCUAAGACCGAUGUGAAAUCCCCGGGCUCAACCUGGGAACUGCAUUGGUGACUGGCAGGCUAGAGUAUGGCAGAGGGGGGUAGAAUUCCACGUGUAGCAGUGAAAUGCGUAGAGAUGUGGAGGAAUACCGAUGGCGAAGGCAGCCCCCCUGGGGCCAAAUACUGACGCUCAUGCACGAAAGCGUGGGGAGCAAACAGGAUUNGAUACCCUGGUAGUCCACGCCCUAAACGAUGUCAACU
rnacentral:rRNA from 1 species